rnacentral:rRNA from 1 species
GAUGAACGCUGGCGGCGUGCCUAAUACAUGCAAGUCGAGCGAACGGACGAGAAGCUUGCUUCUCUGAUGUUAGCGGCGGACGGGUGAGUAACACGUGGAUAACCUACCUAUAAGACUGGGAUAACUUCGGGAAACCGCAGCUAAUACCGGAUAAUAUUUUGAACCGCAUGGUUCAAAAGUGAAAGACGGUCUUGCUGUCACUUAUAGAUGGAUCCGCGCUGCAUUAGCUAGUUGGUAAGGUAACGGCUUACCAAGGCAACGAUGCAUAGCCGACCUGAGAGGGUGAUCGGCCACACUGGAAUUGAGACACGGUCCAGACUCCUACGGGAGGCAGCAGUAGGGAAUCUUCCGCAAUGGGCGGAAGCCUGACGGAGCAACGCCGCGUGAGUGAUGAAGGUCUUCGGAUCGUAAAACUCUGUUAUUAGGGAAGAACAUAUGUGUAAGUAACUGUGCACAUCUUGACGGUACCUAAUCAGAAAGCCACGGCUAACUACGUG